AGUGAACGCUGGCGGUAGGCCUAACACAUGCAAGUCGAACGGCAGCACAGUAAGAGCUUGCUCUUACGGGUGGCGAGUGGCGGACGGGUGAGGAAUACAUCGGAUUCUACUUUUUCGUGGGGGAUAACGUAGGGAAACUUACGCUAAUACCGCAUACGACCUACGGGUGAAAGCAGUGGAUCUUCGGACCUUGCGCGAUUGAAUGAGCCGAUGUCGGAUUAGCUAGUUGGCGGGGUAAAGGCCCACCAAGGCGACGAUCCGUAGCUGGUCUGAGAGGAUGAUCAGCCACACUGGAACUGAGACACGGUCCAGACUCCUACGGGAGGCAGCAGUGGGGAAUAUUGGACAAUGGGCGCAAGCCUGAUCCAGCCAUACCGCGUGGGUGAAGAAGGCCUUCGGGUUGUAAAGCCCUUUUGUUGGGAAAGAAAAGCAGCAGGUUAAUACCCCGCUGUUCUGACGGUACCCAAAGAAUAAGCACCGGCUAACUUCGUG
rnacentral:rRNA from 1 species